rnacentral:tRNA from 1 species
GCGAGGGUGGUGAAAUUGGUAGACACGCUAGCUUCAGCUGUUAGUAUUCUUACGGAUGUGGGGGUUCAAGUCUCCCCUUUCGCACCA